AGUGAACGCUGGCGGCAGGCCUAACACAUGCAAGUCGAGCGGCCGUAGCAAUACGGCAGCGGCAGACGGGAGAGUAACACGUGGGAACGUAACCUUUGGUUCGGAACAACCCAGGGAAACUUGGACUAAUACCGGAUACGCCCGGAAGGAGAAAGAUUUAUCGCAGAAGGAUCGGCCCGCGUCCGAUUAGCUAGUUGGUGGGGUAAUGGCCCACCAAGGCGACGAUCGGUAGCUGGUCUGAGAGGAUGAUCAGCCUCACUGGGACUGAGACACGGCCCAGACUCCUACGGGAGGCAGCAGUGGGGAAUAUUGGACAAUGGGCGCAAGCCUGAUCCAGCCAUGCCGCGUGGGUGAUGAAGGCCCUAGGGUUGUAAAGCCCUUUCGGCGGGGAAGAUAAUGACGGUACCCGCAGAAGAAGCCCCGGCUAACUUCGUGCCAGCCGCCGCCGUAA
rnacentral:rRNA from 1 species